ensembl:lncRNA
GUUCCCAGGCUGGGGUUGAAUCAGAGCUGUAGCCGCUGGCCUAUGCCACAGCCACAGCCACACGGGAUCCGAGCCACAUCUGCAACCCACACCACAGCUCAUGGCAGCUCCAGAUCCUUAACCCACUGAGCGAGGCUGGGGAUCAAACCUGCAUCCUCAUGGACACUAGUCAGAUUUGUUUCUACUGAGCCACGAUGGGAACUCCACACAGGAACUAUUUUAAAAUAGAAAUGAAGAAGGAAGCUUUAAGAGGAGCUCACAGCACCCCAUGAACACGUGACACACAGGAGGUAGUGAAUACAUCUUUGCUGAAUGCAGAAAUACAGAGACAUAGAUAAUCAUGGUCCCGUCCAGUACAUUCAUAAUAUCACCAUUCAAUGAAAACAUCAGCUUGAUAUAUUUAGUCCAUAUUUAUAGCCUUCAUAAUGAACUAGAGAAAAUACAAGCCCAUUGUGUAGCUAAAUAAAAAUGGAAGCCUGAAAACUUAUUAAUUCAGCACCCCCAAAAUAACAUAUAUCCUUCGUUUUCUAUAAUUUACGGUAGCUUUUCUUCUCUCCGCCUCACUCAUAUGAAAAACUAUUAUGCUCUCCGUAUUUCAGUUUAUGGCACAGAAGAAUCUUAUCAAAAACACUUGAGCAAUAAUUUUCCCCUGCUCAUAAAAAUAGGCUGAGUUUAUCUAACCUUAAAAAUAGCCUCCAUUUAUCCACAGCCCUGGCCCCUUCCUUGGAAAUCGCACGGCUAAAUCAAGCAGAAUUCUUGACCCCUGAUGGUCUGAACAAGCAGAAAAGGGUGCAGUUAUUCACUUUCUCUCUGAUGCAAAGAUUUGCAAGUCUUUCUCCUUGAUUUAUUUGGCAGGCUCUUUUGGUCAGAUUUUAGUGUGCUCCAUUAUUAAUACUAGAGGGCAACAGCAUCAUCAUUGUUUUUUUACUUUUUUUUUUUUCUUGCCACCCCAAAGCAUAUGGAGUUCCUGGGCCAGAAAUCAGAUCUUAGCCACAUCUGCAACCUAAGCCACAGCUGCCACAAUGCUGGAGGCUUAACCUACUGUGCUAGGCCAGGGAUCAAACCUGCAUCCCAGUGCUCCCAAAACACAGCCAAUCCUGCUGCACCAGAGCAGGAACUCCUGUUUUAUUACUUUUUUAUUUUUUGGCCAUGCCUGUUGAAGUUCCCAGGCCAAGGACUGAACCCACGCCACAGCUGUUAACUAGAGCCACUGCAGUGACAACACCGGAUCUCCAACCUGCUGAACCACCAAGGAACUCCAUCCUCUGGGUUAUCCUCUUACAAAAUUCUGGGCUUCAGUCUGCCCACAUGUAGAGAGAAAUGGAGAAAUACCCUCUCUGCUCCAUCCCUACCUUGUGACCGCAUGAAACUAAUGGGAUCACUGGUACCAUUCUCUACUGACAUUCAGGUAUUGGCUUGGGGCCUUUCCAGGGCGAGAUUUUUGUUCGUUAGAACUUACAUCAUAUUUCUUGUUUGGCCAGUCAUGCUACAUUCUCAAAAUUUUGUUCUGUUGAAAAUGUCCUUGGCAGGACCAAAACUAAAAAUGGUCUACUAACAGUAAGUAGAUACGGCCUUUUCUUUUUCAUUCCAUGAUGAAAAUGUUGGGAAGCUACCUCCCCAUCUUCUAAUUUGUGCUUGCAUGUGACCAUCCUCAUCUCCCCUUCUCUGGACCAGUAGCCAAAAGCAUUCUAACUGGGCAGAAGGAUGGUAGAGCCCCAGAGGUACAGAGGAAGAAGCCUCUAGUUUAUACUGGAGGGAAACCAAUAGAUUCCCAAAGCCUCUCUUUUGCACAAGAGUGAUUUCAUUCUCUAAGAAAGGAGUGAGAGCUGGCUAUGUGUGAUUGGGUAAGUGUUAGUGAAGGCCCACUCUAAAAUUUAAUUCUGGCACAUGGAGGAGUUCCCGUUGUGGCUCAGAGGGUUAAGAACCCAACUAUUAUCCAUGAGGAUGCAGGUUCAAUCUCUGGCCUAGCUCAGAGGGUUAAGGAUCCAGUGUCGCCACAAGCUGCAGUGUAGAUCACAGAUGUGGCUCGGAUCCAGUGUUCCCAGGGCUGUGGUGCAGGCCUGUAGCUACAGCUCCAAUUCAACCCCUGCCCCAGGAACUUCCAUAUGCUGCAGGUACAGCCAUAAAAAGAAAAAAAUAAAAAUUUUUUUAAAAAAUUCUGGCACGUGGAAAGGUAGAAUCCUUGAGCUUCAAACUGUGAGGACCUCUCACACCCAGCAAACGCUAGCAGCGCUGGACAAAGCUGGGCGAGUUCAAGAAGCAGGUAACAAGACUGAAUGCUUCAUCUAGUACAUUACAUGUUGAACAAAGUUCUUAAAAAGUUACAGAGCAUAUAAAUGUAACUGACAUUUGGCAUACACAUAUACAUGUAUAAGCACUACGUAUCUACAUUAGGUAAAAGGCACUGUAUCUAAUCUGCCAGUGCAAAGGUGACCUACUUUUACCUUUAUUCUGUAUUUGAUGCACAGCUGGCCUGUGGUUCAGCUGGUUGAGCAGAUACUAUGAGAAUCAUCUCAAAAGGAGUCUCCUUUUAAGAAAGCGUUGUGGGCAAGGAUUGAGGCCCUGAAGAGAUUAAGAUACACUCUUUGUUGUUAAUUGCAAGCCUCUGCUGAAAGCUUUUACGUUUCUAUCACUGGUGUUAAGUAUGAAACCAAUUGGGAUUGGCGUGCUUAUAUACUACAUACAUUUCCUGAUCAGAUUAAAAAUAAAGCUCUGCAAGCUAUAAACUAUAGACGCAAUACACUGCCAAUUACAUGUAAGUUUUAUGGGCAUUAAAGUAUCCCUGAAAAUGCAAAUUACAUAAUUUUCUGAAAAAUUACUGAAACUUAUUUAUCGAGCUAAACUAUUUUUCACAGUAGGAGAGGCAGUUGCUACCAGCAAAAUCAUUUUUUUCCUAAGAUAUUUUGACAAGUGCCCCUGAUCUGAGCUGUCAAAAAAACUGCUUGAAUCUAUCUACUAAAAAUUAUUUGUAAAUAUGUAUACAAACCCUGCCAUCUUUCUGAGUCCGUAGCUCUGGGAGAAACAAGGAAAUAAAGCCACUAGCAAUAUGAACUCCUGGUCAUCCUAAUAAGAUAUGCUUGCUUCAAGCCUCACUGGAUUAUUUAAUCACCAACACGUUGCAACGUCCACACAAAAUACGCCCAGCUCAGAACCCAUGAAACCCUAACUCUGGGAACGGAAAGAUCCUCCAGCAUAAAAUGAAAUUCUGCCAAGCUCACCUGAAACCAUGAGAAAACACUGUGCAUUCUUAAAUUAGGUAAAGCAAUGAGUAAUUAUCUGCUGAAAGAGAAGAUGCUAUUCAUUUUUCUGUUAUCCGUGUGCCCAAUUAUGGCAGCAGGUGGUGUCUGCUCUGGCCAUCCCUUGCUGCAUCGAUCAAACUUCCCCUCCCCCUCCUAGAUUAUGCUCGCUCCCAAGCAGAAAAAAAAGGGAAAAUAGUCACUUUCUAUCGACCUUAAGCCACCCCCCACUCAAGCUACCACCAACGCGGGGCAGGGAGGAAGAGGUCACCGGUGUCAGCUGCCUCCGCUUUCCACAUGCUCCUGGCCUGCGAUCCAAUCCACUUCUGUGGCUCUGCUAUUGCCCUGAUGGCAUCCAAAUCUUAGGUCUCUGGCCGCCCAUCCUCCCUCUGAAACUCACCAUCCACAUCUUCAGCUUUGUCCCUUGUCAGGAGGGGCAUCCUAAGACGGCCAGAACCAAGCAUCGCAACUGGACGGCUUAAGCAACUGACUUGGACCAGCUCCCAGCUUUGGAGGCUGCAAGUCAGAGAUCAGGGUGUCGGGAGGGUGGGUUCCCCCCAGACUGAGAGGGGGAUCCCUUCAAGGCCUCUCUAUGGGCUUCUGGUGGCCUCAGGCCUCCCCUGGCUCCAGGGCUAUCCUCACGUGGCCUGCUCCCUGUACCUUUGCACCGUCUUCCCUCUGUCCGUGUCUGAGUCCAAACCUCCUCUUUUUCUUUUUUUUCUUUGUAGGGCCUCACCCAGGGCACAUGGAAGUUUCCAGGCAAGGGGUCGAAUCAUACAUGCAGCUGGCCUAUGCCACAGCCACAGGAACACUAAACCUGAACCACAUCUGUGACCUAUGCCACAGCCUGUGGCAACAUCAGAUCUUUAACCCACUGAUCGAGGCCAGGGUUCAAACCCCGCAUCCUCAUGGAUACUAGUCGGGUUGCUGCAGAGCCACGAUGGGAACUCCCCAAACCUCCCCUUUUUUAUAAAUACACCAGUCAUGGUGGAUUGGGGGCCACCCUCAUGACCAUUUUAACUAGGUGAUCUCUGCAGAGACCCUGUCUCCAAAUAAGACCGCAUGCUGAGGUCCUGCAGGUUAAGGCACCACCACAUGCCUUAAGAUCAGUACGUCCCAAACAAACCCCAUAGCCUCCACUUACCGCCUUUCUUUAAGUCUCCUAAGCUCAUCUUGUCUUCUUCUCAUGCCUGAUGGGUUACCGGUCCAGUCCAGCCUGCAGUCACGGCAUCUCUUAAGUCUCCCUCUCCUUUUCAUUCCCACAACCACCACACAAAUUUAGGCUAAAUUAUCCUGCACCAACUCCACGGUGACUGUCCCAAAGAAGCUUCUUAGCUCCAGCCUCUCUCUAAUUUCUCUCUAUCCCAAUUUAUCUUAAAAAUUGCUGCCACAUUCAUCUUCU